rnacentral:rRNA from 1 species
GACGAACGCUGGCGGCGCGCCUAACACAUGCAAGUCGAACGAGCGAGAGAGAGCUUGCUUUCUCAAGCGAGUGGCGAACGGGUGAGUAACGCGUGAGGAACCUGCCUCAAAGAGGGGGACAACAGUUGGAAACGACUGCUAAUACCGCAUAAGCCCACGACCCGGCAUCGGGUAGAGGGAAAAGGAGCAAUCCGCUUUGGGAUGGCCUCGCGUCCGAUUAGCUAGUUGGUGAGGUAACGGCCCACCAAGGCGACGAUCGGUAGCCGGACUGAGAGGUUGAACGGCCACAUUGGGACUGAGACACGGCCCAGACUCCUACGGGAGGCAGCAGUGGGGAAUAUUGCACAAUGGGGGAAACCCUGAUGCAGCGACGCCGCGUGGAGGAAGAAGGUCUUCGGAUUGUAUACUCCUGUUGUGGAGGAAGAUAAUGACGGUACUCAACAAGGAAGUGACGGCUAACUACGUG